rnacentral:piRNA from 1 species
UACUAUUCUGAACACAGAAGCUCAGAGCCA